CAGUAGCCACGGUAAAACGAAGGGUGCAAGCGUUACUCGGAAUUACUGGGCGUAAAGCGUGCGUAGGUGGUGGUUUAAGUCCGUUGUGAAAGCCCUGGGCUCAACCUGGGAAUUGCAGUGGAUACUGGGUCACUAGAGUGUGGUAGAGGAUAAUGGAAUUUCCGGUGUAGCAGUGAAAUGCGUAGAGAUCGGAAGGAACAUCUGUGGCGAAGGCGACUAUCUGGGCCAACACUGACACUGAGGCACGAAAGCGUGGGGAGCAAACAGGAUUAGAUACCCCUGUAGUCCCUGUCUCUUAUAC
rnacentral:rRNA from 1 species